GACGAACGCUGGCGGCGUGCCUAACACAUGCAAGUCGAGCGGGGUCCAUCCAGUGGCAACACUGGGGAAGACCUAGCGGCGAACGGGUGAGUAACACGUGAGGAACCUGCCCCGAAGACCGGGAUAACCCGAGGAAACUCAAGCUAAUACCGGAUACCCCCACGAGAUCGCAUGGUCUUGUGAGGAAAUGUCUUUUCGCUUCGGGAGGGCCUCGCGGCCUAUCAGCUAGUUGGCGGGUAACGGCCCACCAAGGCAUCGACGGGUAGCUGGUCUGAGAGGACGAUCAGCCACACUGGGACUGAGACACGGCCCAGACUCCUACGGGAGGCAGCAGUGGGGAAUCUUGCGCAAUGGGCGAAAGCCUGACGCAGCAACGCCGCGUGGGGGACGAAGGCUCUCGGGUUGUAAACCCCUUUCAGGAGGGACGAAAUUGACGGUACCUCCAGAAGAAGCCCCGGCCAACUACGUGCCAGCAGCCGCGGUAAU
rnacentral:rRNA from 1 species